AUAACUAAUAAAUUUAAAAAUAGGGCUUUUUCGCGAUAUUCUUAUUUUUCAGAAAAUUUUAAACUUCAAAAUCGUCAUUUUCGUUACUGUAUCCAAGACCCAAUGAGUACUGAUUAAGUAUGGUUUCUGUUAGCAAAAAUCAAAGAAUGCUUAUAAAAAUUGUGAAAUAUUAAAAAAUAAACAUUUCUUUUCAUAGAAAAAUACUUUUUAUUUCUUUUUUUGUGAUAAUUUUCAUGUCUGGAUGAUUAAAUUCUUUGUAUGCAAGCAUCGACGUCAUUUUCAUGACACUUAAAAAUAACUUAGUAAAUCAUCAAGAGAUGGCGCCAGGAACAAUUUUACUACUUGUUUGGAAUGAAAAUCGACAUUGAGAGCUUGGAUGAAUAGGUUUUUCAUAGAAAAAUUCCAACAGGUAAGUGUUUACGUGAUUUCUAUUGUUUACAAGUUAUGCGUAUGUUUAUUGCUCGUCAUUUUCGCGACGCCUGUAAAAACAAAAAAUAAUUUUAAAAAAUUUAGAAUGAAGUUAUAUUUUGAUCUAGUACUUCAACCUGAAGCAAGUAAUGUGACGAAAAAGGCUUAAUUAAAGCGUGCUUUUCCUCACGGAGCGAAUUUUCGAUGUUUCGUCAUUUUCGUGACGGUCAUUUUUACGACGUCGCGGUAAUGACUGACGUCGCCUGGAAUGACAGCAUCGUCGCGAAAAUGACAUUUGACGUAUUUUUCGGGGGUUUGGGAGUCUUAAAAAUAAAUUAUACCUCAUGUAUUGUUGGAUGUUUGAAUUUCAAUAUCAAAUACUGUAAUUUUUUGAUGACAGGAUUCGCGCGUUGCGCAUGUAGUGCGAUUUCUCUUUGCACAUUUAUUAGAAAUGCACUCGAAUUCAGCAAAAAAAAAAAAAAAAAAAAUCGUUCUAAAAAUACCAAAAAAAAAAAUGCAAAUUCUAUUUAUUUUGCAUUAUUUCAGGUUGGCAGUGCUUUUUUAUUCAAUAUAUUUAUUUUUAUACAUAUAUAUAUAUAUAUUUUCAACUAUUACUUUAAAACGAAAAAUAUUAAUCUUUGAAUUAAAUUGCAUACUUAAUUUUCUCUCAAUAUUAUUAAAUAUGAGGGCAUGUCUGUCUAAUAUAAAUUUAGAGUUUGUCUAAUUUUAAUUUAUUAAAAAGUAUGGCAUAGCAGAGCCCCAAAUGAAUAGUGAAUUUAAAAAAAAAAAAAAAAAAAUUAUCACAAUAUUAUUAAAAAAAAAAAAACGUGUAUUAAGUGUUAUUUUAUGUGAAAGAAGUUGAGGCAUAACUCACUCAUAUUACUGUCAAUAACAAUUGCUAAACAAUUCAAACUAAAAUGUUAUUCCAUUUUCUCCUGAAAACAAAAUUAUAGCUUCAAAAAAUAGCAUUAAUUGCUCACACACUUUGUUCUUUUUAGGAUGGGUAAACCAAAACCAGAAGGUAAAAAAAAGGAUGUGGGGAAAAUCAAGAAAACAUCACAACAGUACAAGUUGCAUCGGCAAAAAGCUAAUGCAAGGAACCAGAAGUACAAAAGUAACUUAACAGAGGAAAAAAAAGAAAUAAUAAAGGCCAAAGCUCGAGAAAGGUACAGAAAAAAGAAAGAGCUAGGUUUAAUUCAGCCAAUUGCAGAAAGAUCUGAUAGAGAAAAGCGUAAACAAAGAAAAAUAUGGAAAAAUGCCACCACGAAAUACAGAAAAAAAAUUUCUGAUAACAUAAAUACUCCGUCACCAUUGUUAGAAAAAGAUAUUCAAUACCCUAGCACUUCACGCAAAAAUUCAGGUCGAAAAAAGGUUGCUAAAAGUAGAUCUAAAGCCUACAGAGAUUUAGCGAAAAAAGAAAGAGAGAAUGAGAAAUUGAAAACAAAAGUUCAGAAGUAUAAGCAACGCUGGUUGCGAUUAAAAGCAGCAUCGUCAGCUUCUUUUACUCCACGUAGUAGAGUUGAAAAUCUGUUAAAAGGUAAACGUAUUUCAAGCCCGAUUAAGAGAAAGUUACUUUUUGGGGAGGUAUUAACAGAUCAACUAAAGGAAAAUUUAAAAGUCAAAUGUUCUACCCAGAGAGAUAAACAGAUGUUCCAUAGGGUGAUUUGCGGGAAAAUCAUAAAAAAGUACAGAUUUUUAAAUUUAACCCGGACAUUUCUUUCUUGCAGGAUAAGCUCUGUUUCUACUAGUGUAAACAACUUAAAAUAUGAGCGAAGUAAAAGAAAUAAAUCGAUCUCGGAUUAUUACCAGAAACUAAUUUGAGAUUUCUAUGAAGAUGACGAGCAUAGUAAAAUGUCCCCAUGCAAGAGAGACUAUAUCACAAAAUCAAAUGAGAGAGUACAAAAACGAAUUUUAACAAAAACAGUUAAAGAAAUUCACAAGAAAUUCAUUAACCAAAAGAAAAUAAAAAUAUCAUACACGACAUUUUGUCGAAUGAAACCUUUUUGGGUUGUACCCCCGAAGAUGAGGGAUCGGGAAACUUGUGCAUGCAUCAAGCAUGAAAAUAUGGAAUUCAUAACGUCAAAACUGCACCGCCUAAAGGUAAUUGAAGACAAGAAGCCUGAUUCUCUAUUUCACUUAAAUUUAGAUGACUUGAAAGCAAACAUCGAUUUAAAACAGGUAUUUAAGUAUUUUUCAUGGCAAACAGUUAAGGAGUCGAAACAAAUAAAAGGAAACAUCAAAGUUAUAACCAAAAUGGUAAAAGUAGAAAAGUCUUCUACAAUAGAAGAUAUAUUUCAGAAACUUAAAGUUGAACUACCAAAAUAUGAAACCCAUGUGAAAACAAUGACUCACCAAGCGAAGGCACUGAAGACGAUAAAAGAGGGCUUGCAGCCAAAUGAGCUGUGUUUUCAUAUCGACUUUUCUGAGAACUAUGAAUUGAAACUACAUAAAGAAGUUCAAUCCAUGCACUUCGGUGCGUCAAAAAAACAAAUAUGUCUGCAUACAGUCAUGAUGUAUGCAUAUGUAGCGGGCAAAAUAGAACCCAAAAGUUUUUGCACAGUCUCUGAGGAUCUUUCCCACCAAGCCCAUGCUGUGUGGGCCCAUAUGGCUUCGAUAUUUUCAAACUUGGAAAAAGAUGACAUUGAGAAGGUGCAUUUUUUUUCAGACGGCCCAACUGGCCAGUACCGCAAUCGGUACAACAUCUAUUUAAUGAUAAAACUUGCACCUUUUUUUUUUCCCGAAACUCACUGAUGUUUCAUGGAACUUUAGCUGUAGCGGGCAUGGUAAGGGUGCCAUGGACGGAAUCGGUGGUUCCCUAAAGAGAACAGCGGAUUCGUUUGUGUUACAUGGCGGGGACCUUGUAUCUGCUGAGGACUUCGUCAAAUUAUUUGAAAAUAGUAAAGUUAAAGUAAUUAUUUUGAAACCUGAAGAAAUAGAGAAAAUAAAACACAAUUUGCCCUCGGACGUUAUUCAAGUUCCAAAUAUCUCAAAGCUACAUCAAAUAAAGUGGUGUCAAACAACAAAAAAAAAAUGUUCAAAAGAGAAUUGUCCUGCUGGACAUGCCCAGCUGAUUGUGUCCAUUUCCCCGAAUCGGCAAUAACCUAUAAAAUUAAUGAUGAAAAUGAUAUAGUCAAUGAAACUAAAGCCAAACUAAAUGUUGGUGACUGGGUUGCAGUGGUUUUUUCGGAUAAGUGGUAUCCAGGUGUAAUUGAAAAUAUUACUAAAAAUACAUUGCGUGUGUCAUUUAUGACAAUUUGUGGGAGAAAUAAGUUCUCGUGGCCUGAGAAAGAAGAUAUACAGGAUAUUGAAGUUCCGCAUAUCCUGUGCAAAAUUAGGAGUUGCCCAGAACCUGCCUCAACACGAUAUUUUAAACUUGAAGAACUUGAUUACCAAAAUGUUUUAAAUGCUUUUGUUGCCUUCAACUCUUAAAUAUGCUUGUAAAUUAAGUUUUUUUAAUGUAAUAAAAUUGAUUGGUUCUUA